AGUGAACGCUGGCGGUAGGCCUAACACAUGCAAGUCGAACGGCAGCACAGUAAGAGCUUGCUCUUACGGGUGGCGAGUGGCGGACGGGUGAGGAAUACAUCGGAAUCUACUUUUUCGUGGGGGAUAACGUAGGGAAACUUACGCUAAUACCGCAUACGACCUACGGGUGAAAGCAUGGGAUCUUCGGACCUUGCGCGAUUGAAUGAGCCGAUGUCGGAUUAGCUAGUUGGCGGGGUAAAGGCCCACCAAGGCGACGAUCCGUAGCUGGUCUGAGAGGAUGAUCAGCCACACUGGAACUGAGACACGGUCCAGACUCCUACGGGAGGCAGCAGUGGGGAAUAUUGGACAAUGGGCGCAAGCCUGAUCCAGCAAUACCGCGUGGGUGAAGAAGGCCUUCGGGUUGUAAAGCCCUUUUGUUGGGAAAGAAAAGCAGCAGGUUAAUACCCCGCUGUUCUGACGGUACCCAAAGAAUAAGCACCGGCUAACUUCGUG
rnacentral:rRNA from 1 species